rnacentral:rRNA from 1 species
AGCGCAUACGGUGGAUGCCUUGGCAGUCAGAGGCGAUGAAAGACGUGGUAGCCUGCGAUAAGCUUCGGGGAGUCGGCAAACAGACUUUGAUCCGGAGAUCUCUGAAUGGGGGAACCCACCUGGCAUAAGUCAGGUAUCUUGUACUGAAUACAUAGGUGCAAGAGGCGAACCAGGGGAACUGAAACAUCUAAGUACCCUGAGGAAAAGAAAUCAACCGAGAUUCCCUUAGUAGUGGCGAGCGAACGGGGACUAGCCCUUAAGUGGCUUUGAGAUUAGCGGAACGCUCUGGAAAGUGCGGCCAUAGUGGGUGAUAGCCCUGUACGCGAAAAUCUCUUAGUCAUGAAAUCGAGUAGGACGGAGCACGAGAAACUUUGUCUGAAUAUGGGGGGACCAUCCUCCAAGGCUAAAUACUACUGACUGACCGAUAGUGAACCAGUACCGUGAGGGAAAGGCGAAAAGAACCCCGGAGAGGGGAGUGAAAUAGAUCCUGAAACCGUAUGCGUACAAGCAGUGGGAGCCUACUUGUUAGGUGACUGCGUACCUUUUGUAUAAUGGGUCAGCGACUUAUAUUCAGUGGCGAGCUUAACCGAAUAGGGGAGGCGUAGCGAAAGCGAGUCUUAAUAGGGCGUUUAGUCGCUGGGUAUAGACCCGAAACCGGGCGAUCUAUCCAUGGGCAGGUUGAAGGUUAGGUAACACUGACUGGAGGACCGAACCGACUACCGUUGAAAAGUUAGCGGAUGACCUGUGGAUCGGAGUGAAAGGCUAAUCAAGCUCGGAGAUAGCUGGUUCUCCUCGAAAGCUAUUUAGGUAGCGCCUCAUGUAUCACUGUAGGGGGUAGAGCACUGUUUCGGCUAGGGGGUCAUCCCGACUUACCAAACCGAUGCAAACUCCGAAUACCUACAAGUGCCGAGCAUGGGAGACACACGGCGGGUGCUAACGUCCGUCGUGAAAAGGGAAACAACCCAGACCGUCAGCUAAGGUCCCAAAGUUAUGGUUAAGUGGGAAACGAUGUGGGAAGGCUUAGACAGCUAGGAGGUUGGCUUAGAAGCAGCCACCCUUUAAAGAAAGCGUAAUAGCUCACUAGUCGAGUCGGCCUGCGCGGAAGAUGUAACGGGGCUCAAACCAUACACCGAAGCUACGGGUAUCACUUAGGUGAUGCGGUAGAGGAGCGUUCUGUAAGCCUGUGAAGGUGAGUUGAGAAGCUUGCUGGAGGUAUCAGAAGUGCGAAUGCUGACAUGAGUAACGACAAUGGGAGUGAAAAACUCCCACGCCGAAAGACCAAGGUUUCCUGCGCAACGUUAAUCGACGCAGGGUUAGUCGGUCCCUAAGGCGAGGCUGAAAAGCGUAGUCGAUGGAAAACAGGUUAAUAUUCCUGUACUUCUGGUUAUUGCGAUGGAGGGACGGAGAAGGCUAGGCCAGCUUGGCGUUGGUUGUCCAAGUUUAAGGUGGUAGGCUGAGAUCUUAGGUAAAUCCGGGAUCUUAAGGCCGAGAGCUGAUGACGAGUUGCCAUUAGGCGACGAAGUGGUUGAUGCCAUGCUUCCAAGAAAAGCUUCUAAGCUUCAGGUAACCAGGAACCGUACCCCAAACCGACACAGGUGGUUGGGUAGAGAAUACCAAGGCGCUUGAGAGAACUCGGGUGAAGGAACUAGGCAAAAUGGCACCGUAACUUCGGGAGAAGGUGCGCCGGUGAGGGUGAAGGACUUGCUCCGUAAGCUCAUGCCGGUCGAAGAUACCAGGCCGCUGCGACUGUUUAUUAAAAACACAGCACUCUGCAAACACGAAAGUGGACGUAUAGGGUGUGACGCCUGCCCGGUGCCGGAAGGUUAAUUGAUGGGGUUAGCUAACGCGAAGCUCUUGAUCGAAGCCCCGGUAAACGGCGGCCGUAACUAUAACGGUCCUAAGGUAGCGAAAUUCCUUGUCGGGUAAGUUCCGACCUGCACGAAUGGCGUAACGAUGGCGGCGCUGUCUCCACCCGAGACUCAGUGAAAUUGAAAUCGCUGUGAAGAUGCAGUGUAUCCGCGGCUAGACGGAAAGACCCCGUGAACCUUUACUAUAGCUUUGCACUGGACUUUGAAUUUGCUUGUGUAGGAUAGGUGGGAGGCUUUGAAGCGUGGACGCCAGUCUGCGUGGAGCCAUCCUUGAAAUACCACCCUGGCAACUUUGAGGUUCUAACUCAGGUCCGUUAUCCGGAUCGAGGACAGUGUAUGGUGGGUAGUUUGACUGGGGCGGUCUCCUCCUAAAGAGUAACGGAGGAGUACGAAGGUGCGCUCAGACCGGUCGGAAAUCGGUCGUAGAGUAUAAAGGCAAAAGCGCGCUUGACUGCGAGACAGACACGUCGAGCAGGUACGAAAGUAGGUCUUAGUGAUCCGGUGGUUCUGUAUGGAAGGGCCAUCGCUCAACGGAUAAAAGGUACUCCGGGGAUAACAGGCUGAUACCGCCCAAGAGUUCAUAUCGACGGCGGUGUUUGGCACCUCGAUGUCGGCUCAUCACAUCCUGGGGCUGAAGCCGGUCCCAAGGGUAUGGCUGUUCGCCAUUUAAAGUGGUACGCGAGCUGGGUUUAGAACGUCGUGAGACAGUUCGGUCCCUAUCUGCCGUGGACGUUUGAGAUUUGAGAGGGGCUGCUCCUAGUACGAGAGGACCGGAGUGGACGAACCUCUGGUGUUCCGGUUGUCACGCCAGUGGCAUUGCCGGGUAGCUAUGUUCGGAAGAGAUAACCGCUGAAAGCAUCUAAGCGGGAAACUUGCCUCAAGAUGAGAUCUCACUGGAGCCUUGAGCUCCCUGAAGGGCCGUCGAAGACUACGACGUUGAUAGGUUGGGUGUGUAAGCGCUGUGAGGCGUUGAGCUAACCAAUACUAAUUGCCCGUGAGGCUUGACC